ACUUCACCACUCAGAAAAAGUUCAAUCAACGAACCCGAUAAACUCAGUCCAGUGCAAGACAUCAAGUUAAAUGGGAUAACCACAAAAUAGUCGUUAAAACAUCCAUCAAAUUAAAUAAAAUAAUUUAAGUUUUCGUGUUAUUAACUAAAAAAAUCGUUAUUAAAACCUAAAAGAACUAAUAAUGUCGAUAUCUACAGAACAAGAAACGAAAACAAAUUUAUCGCCAAAAAAGAAACAAUUCAACCGAAAUCCAUCGCUCGAAAAAAUAAUUAAUUUUAACGCUUAUAUAUGUUCUCAAAACUUCUUUAUUUUACCCGCGUUAUUAACCUGGAUGAAAACUUCCCAAAGUAUUCUUCAAGUGUACUCGGAGAAAUGCACGAAUUUAGUUAAAAAUUUAAUUAAAUUAGAUUUUUUAACUAUAAUUCAAGAUCUUAACAAAAUGGGCAAAGAAACCAAACGAAAAUUGUUAGAAAUCGCGACUUAUACUUGUUUAUUUUUGGUGUUUCUACAAUUAACGACUUGUUUAAUUUUGUUGGGUAUCAACUCAAUGCCUGGAGGGUUAAUUUUCUUGCUCGUCUCAAUCUCUUACAUUUGUUACAUGAAUUAUUUGUGUUUACGAUUGAUCAUUUUAAAACAAAAAUACAAAGAUGAGCAGAAAAACUUUGAGAACGAAGCGACGACAAAGUACAUUAGGCCCAAAGACAUUUUGGGGAAAAGGACAAUAAGCAGUUUAAAUUUAUUUUAAUUUAUCUUAUUUAAAAAUGCAAUACUUAAGACUACUUUAUAAUUAAUUAUAUAUUGUUGUGAUAAACGACCUUUGUGUUUUUAUGUUGUAUAUUUAACUUAAUUUUUAAUAAAGAUGUCUUCUCAAAUCAAAAAA